GACGAACGCUGGCGGCGUGCUUAACACAUGCAAGUCGAACGAUGAAGCCGGAGCUUGCUCUGGUGAAUUAGUGGCGAACGGGUGAGUAACACGUGAGUAACCUGCCCUUGACUCUGGGAUAACUGCGGGAAACUGUAGCUAAUACCGGAUACGACCCUCGGAGGCAUCUCCUGGGGGUGGAAAGAAUUUCGGUCAAGGAUGGACUCGCGGCCUAUCAGCUAGUUGGUGAGGUAAAGGCUCUCCAAGGCGACGACGGGUAGCCGGCCUGAGAGGGUGACCGGCCACACUGGGACUGAGACACGGCCCAGACCCCUACGGGAGGCAGCAGUGGGGAAUAUUGCACAAUGGGCGCAAGCCUGAUGCAGCAACGCCGCGUGAGGGAUGACGGCCUUCGGGUUGUAAACCUCUUUUAGCAGGGAAGAAGCGAAAGUGACGGUACCUGCAGAAAAAGCACCGGCUAACUACGUGCCAGCAGCCGCAGUAA
rnacentral:rRNA from 1 species